UUUCUUUGAAAUCAACCGAAGAAGAUUACAAGCAAAGGAAUGGCAGUUAGGCUGAAAGCAAAUAUAUCAACAGCAAUAAUAGAAGUGGGUAUGCAGUGGAAUAAUCUUCAAAGUGCUAAGAGAAAAUAGCUGUUAACACGUGGAAAUCAAAAGUUUUCCAGGGUAAAUGUUGUCCAGACUCAGAGUUUAAGAAACACUUUCCUGUUGGAAAGCCAAAAAUUCUUCCUUCAUCUCUUCCAAGUCAAGUUGCUGAAAAUCAAACUUCCACGAUGGAGAAAGAUGUUCGUCCAAAGACAAGAAGUAUAAAUAGAUUUCCUCUUCAUUCUGAAAGUUCAUCAAAGAAAGCACCAAGAAGCAAAAACAAAACCUUGGAUCCACUUUUGAUGUCAGAGCCCAAGCCCAGGACCAGCUCCCCUAGAGGAGAUAAAGCAGCCUAUGACAUUCUGAGGAGAUGUUCUCAGUGUGGCAUCCUGCUUCCCCUGCCGAUCCUAAAUCAACAUCAGGAGAAAUGCUGGUGGUUAGCUUCAUCAAAAGGAAAACAAGUGAGAAAUUUCAGCUAGAUUUGGAAAAGGAAAGGUGCUACAAAUUCAAAAGAUUUCACUUUUAACACUGGCUUUCCUGCCUACUUGCUGUGGUGGUUUUGUGAAAAGUGAUGGGUUUUAUUCGUUGGGCUUUAAAAGAAAAGGUUUGGCAGAACUAAAAACAAAACUCACGUAUCAUCUCAAUAGAUACAGAAAAGGCUUUUGAUAAAAUUCAACUUGACUUCAUGUUAAAAACCCUCGACAAACCAGGCAUUGAAGGAACAUACCUCAAAAUAAUAAGAGCCAUCUAUGACAAAACCACAGCCAACAUCAUACUGAAUGAGCAAAAGCUGGAGCAUUACCCUUGAGAAGUAGAACAAGGCACUUCAGUCCUAUUCAACAUAGUACUGGAAGUCCUCACCACAGCAAUCAGGCAAGAGAAAGAAAUAAAAGGCAACCAAAAAGAGAGGAAGUCGAAGUAUCUCUGUUUGCCGACGAUAUGAUUCUAUAUCUAGAAAACCCCAUGAUCUUGGCCCAAAAGCUCCUAGAUCUGAUAAACAACUUCAGCUAACUUUCAGGAGACAAAAUCAAUAUACAAAAUACAGUAGCAUUUUUAUACACCAACGACAUCCAAGCUGAGAGCCAAAUCAAGAAUGCAAUCCUAUUCACAAUUGCCACAAAAAGAAUAAAAUACCUAGGAAUACAGCUAACCAGGGAGAUGAAAGAUCUCUACAACAAAAAUUACAAAACACUGCUGAAAGAAAUCAGAGAUGACACAAAUGGAAAAACAUUCCAUGCUUAUGGAUAGGAAGAAUCAAUAUUGUUAAAAUGGCCAUACUACCCAAAGCAAUUUAUAGAUUCAAUGCUAUUCCUAUCAAACUACCAAUAACAUUCUUCACAGAAUCAGAAAAAAAAGCAUUAAAAUUUAUUUGAAACCAAAAAAGAGCCCCAAAAGCCAAAGCAAUCCUAAGCAAAAAGAACAAAGCUGGAGGCAUCGCAUUACCCAACUUCAAACUAUACUACAGGGCUACAGUAACCAAAACUGCAUGAUACUGGUACAAAAGCAUGGUACUGGUACAAAAGCAGACACAUAGAUCAAUGGAACAGAAUAGAGAGCCCAGAAAUAAAGCUACACACCUACAACCAUCUAAUCUUUGACAAAGUUGACAAAAAUACGCAAUGGGGAAAGAAUUCCCCAUUCAGUAAGUGGUACUGGGAUAACUAGCUAGCCAUAUGCAGAAGAUUGAAACUGAACCACUUCCUUACACCAUAUGCAAAAAUCAACUCAAGAUGGAUUAAAGACUUAAAUGUAAAACCCCAAACUAUAAAAACUCUGGAAGAUAACCUAGGCAAUACCAUUCUGGACAUAGGAACGGAAAAAGAUUUCAUGACAAAGAUCCCAAAAAUAAUUGUAACGAAAGCAAAAAUUGACAAAUGGGACAUGAUUAAACAGAACUACCAUUUGACUCAGCAAUCCCAUUAUUGGUUAUAUACCCAAAGGAAUCUAAAUCAUUCUGUCAUAAAGAAAUAUAUACACAAAUGUUCACGGCAGCACUAUACACAAUCGCAAAGUCAGGGAAUCAAACUAAAUGUCCAUCAGUGGUAGAAAGGAUAAAGAAAAUGUGGUGGCAGGGAGUGGUGGCUCAUGUCUGUAAUCCCAGCACUUUGGGAGGCUGAGGCGGGUGGUUCACCUGAGGUCAGGAGUUUGAGACCAGCCUGGCCAACAUGGCGAAACUCCGUCUCCACUAAAAAUACGAAAAUUAGCCAGGCGUGGUGGCAAGCGCCUGUCAUCCCAGCUACUUGGGAGGCCUAGGCGUAAGAAUCGCUUGAACCUGGAAGGUGGUGGUUGCAGUGAGCCGAGAUCCUGCCACUGCACUCCAGCCUGGGCAACCAAGCGAGACUCUGCCUUAAAAAAAAAAAAAAGAAAAUGUGGCACAUAUACACCAUGGAAUACUAUGCAUCCAUAAAAAAGAAUGGGAUCAUGUCCUGUGCAGCAACAUGGAUGGAGCUGGAAGCCAUUAUCCUAAAUGAACUCACUCAGAAACAGAAAACCAAAUACCACAUGUUCUCACUUAUAAGUAGAAGCUAAACAUUGAGUACACAUGGAUACAAAGAAGGGAACCGCAGACACUGGGGCCUACCUGAGGUUGGAGCAUGGAAGGAGGGUGAGGAUCAAAAAACUACCUAUCUGGUACUAUGCUUUUUAUCUGGAUGAUGAAAUAAUCUGUACAACAAACCCUGGUGACAUGCAAUUUACCUAUAUAGCAAGCCUACACACGUGCCCCUGAACCUAAAAAAAAAGUUAAAAGAAAAACGUUUGGAUUAUUUUCCCUCUUUCGAACAAAGACAUUGGUUUGCCCAAGGACUACAAAUAAACCAACGGGAAAAAAGAAAGGUUCCAGUUUUGUCUGAAAAUUCUGAUUAAGCCUCUGGGCCCUACAGCCUGGAGAACCUGGAGAAUCCUACACCCACAGAACCCGGCUUUGUCCCCAAAGAAUAAAAAC
rnacentral:lncRNA from 1 species